rnacentral:rRNA from 1 species
CGCUAGCUACAGGCUUAACACAUGCAAGUCGAGGGGUAGCAGGGUAGCAAUACCGCUGACGACCGGCGCACGGGUGAGUAACACGUAUCCAACCUUCCCAUUACUCGGGGAUAGCCUUUCGAAAGAAAGAUUAAUACCCGAUAGUACUUUUUCGAGGCAUCUCGUAAAAAGUUAAAGAUUUAUUGGUAAUGGAUGGGGAUGCGUUCCAUUAGAUUGUUGGUGAGGUAACGGCUCACCAAGUCUUCGAUGGAUAGGGGUUCUGAGAGGAAGGUCCCCCACAUUGGUACUGAGACACGGACCAAACUCCUACGGGAGGCAGCAGUGAGGAAUAUUGGUCAAUGGGCGAGAGCCUGAACCAGCCAAGUAGCGUGAAGGAUGACGG